rnacentral:rRNA from 1 species
CCCCCAGUAACGGCGAGUGAAGUGGGAAAAGCCCAGCGUCGAACCCACAAGUUUUGCUUGGCGGGCAUGUGGCGUGUGGAUCCCCUCACGCAUGUUGGCACGCUCACCGCACGUCCUAAUGAUUCAGGCCUUGCCCACAGAGGGUGUCAGGCCCGUACCAGGUGAGCGCUGUCGGAUGCAGGGAGGUAUUCAAGAGUCGGGUUGUUUGGGAAUGCAGCCCAAAGCGGGAGGUAAACUUCUCCUAAGGCUAAAUACUAUGGUGAGACCGAUAGCGAACAAGUACCGUGAGGGAAAGUUGAAAAGCACUCUGAAGAGAGAGUUCAAUAGUACGUGAAACUGUUAAGAGGUAAACGAUCAAGGCGUCCCUUACGCCUAGCUAGAUUCAGCCGCUGCGCCCGCCGCCGUGGUGCUUUCCACAUCCGCAAGGAGUGGGGGUGCUGCGGUGGGUGGGCGAAACGGUGCACUUUUGGUUGGGCUACGUCACGGCCGAUUGUUCGGGAGCGAUGUGGCGCGUGGGGUGGAGGUUCAGGCUUCGGUCCGACCAAUUCCCUGCGUGUUCAUGGCCUCCUGGGCGAUCGUGGUAGAGGACUGGUUGCUACAGGCGGCUCGUAGGCUUUCGUCUUUUCUCUGACGAUGCGUAUCUCGCUUGCGAAAUGCGUGUCCGAAAGGGAUUCGGCUGGGGGUUUUUGCGUCUGCCGGUCCCCGCCCGUGGCUCAUGGGAUUCCCUUUAUCGACCCGUCUUGAAACACGGACCAAGGAGUCUAACAUGUGUGCGAGUCUUGAGGGUUAGGAACACCCGCAGGCGCAAUGAAAGUAAGGUUUGCUUCGGCAAAUGAGGCAGGAGCGGGGCAACCCGUGCACCGCCGUCCCGUCUGGAACAUCCUCGUAUGUCGGGCGGAGAAAGAGCAUAUACGUUGGGACCCGAAAGAUGGUGAACUAUGCCUGAACAGGAUGAAGCCAGGGGAAACUCUGGUGGAGGUCCGUAGCGAUUCUGACGUGCAAAUCGAUCGUCUGAUUUGGGUAUAGGGGCG